rnacentral:rRNA from 1 species
GACGAACGCUGGCGGCGUGCUUAACACAUGCAAGUCGAACGGAAAGGCCCUGCUUUUGUGGGUUGCUCGAGUGGCGAACGGGUGAGUAACACGUGAGUAACCUGCCCUUGACUUUGGGAUAACUUCAGGAAACUGGGGCUAAUACCGGAUAUGAGCUCCUGCUGCAUGGUGGGGGUUGGAAAGUUUCGGCGGUUGGGGAUGGACUCGCGGCUUAUCAGCUUGUUGGUGGGGUAGUGGCUUACCAAGGCUUUGGCGGGUAGCCGGCCUGAGAGGGGGACCGGCCACACUGGGACUGAGACACGGCCCAGACUCCUACGGGAGGCAGCAGUGGGGAAUAUUGCACAAUGGGCGGAAGCCUGAUGCAGCGACGCCGCGUGCGGGAUGACGGCCUUCGGGUUGUAAACCGCUUUCGGCUGUGACGAAGCGUGAGUGACGGUAAUGGGUAAAGAAGCACCGGCUAACUACGUG